AUGGCAGAGUAUGAUAGAAUAUCACAAAGCAUUGAAGAAAAAAGAAAAGAAAACGAUUCUAUAACAAGAAGAACUUCAACAAUGUGGAGUGACUAUGCAUUGGAAAAGCAGGCAACAAGACUGUAUAACAGAGGCAUUUUCUACAAAUUUCAGCAAGAGUUAAUGAAUUCAACUAAGUUUCACAUGGUUGAAGUUGAAAGAAACAAGCAGUAUGAGGUGUUCAUGUCACCAACUCAAGCACUAUUUGAGUAUAACCCCAGAACUUUCAUAGUCAUGGUGGACAGAGACUCUGAAACUUUCACAUGCAUAUGUGGAAAAUUUGAAAAGGACGGCAUACUAUGUUGUCAUGCACUCAAAGUGAUGCAAGCAUUGAACAUUGAUGAGGUAGCAGAAAAGUAUUUCAUUGAUAUAUUGAGACCUAAAGAAAAGAAAUUAGAACAAGUAAGUGAACAAGUCACAAACCUCGAAGACUUGGAUGACAAGAUGGCUUUCUUCUCAUUCUCAAGAAGGUUCACUGAGUUAGCUUCUCAAGCGUCAAAAAAUCCUGCAAGGAGGAAAGUUUUGAGUGGGCAGAUAACCAAUUUAGAGACAUUAUCUGGCCAUACCCUGCAUGCCAGAAGGUGA
rnacentral:rRNA from 1 species